GCGGGAGUAGCUCAGGGGUAGAGCACAACCUUGCCAAGGUUGGGGUCGCGGGUUCGAAUCCCGUCUCCCGCU
rfam:Nitratifractor salsuginis DSM 16511, complete genome.